rnacentral:lncRNA from 1 species
AGUGUGUUCUUUGCUGUAGCUGUCGUCUGGACAGAAGUGCUCACCGCUGCACAGAACUCUGCCAAGGCCACUCUGAGGCAUCCACAUCUGAGUCCUGGGAGCUAAACACACCCACAGCUGUGGUUCUCCCUUGCAAUUCGGAUCUACUGGCUUGCCCUGGAUCCAUCUUACAACCCUGUUCUAUUGAAUCAAGAUCUGGAUGACACAUUGUCUUGGCAGUUGCAAAGCUCCCAGGCACAGUCAGCACCAUCUGAAGUUUGGUUCAGCAGAAUUGAGGAAAUCUUGGCCUCCACAAAGAAGAAAAGUCCUAAACUGGAAAAGUGUUAAAACUACAGAACUCCAAAACAUACUUAAUCCUGGUGUGAUGCACGAAACAGGACUAAGAAAAGCAGGGAACAGAAUGGGCACUGCCGUGCUCCUGGGUGACCACUUCCUCCCCGACUGGAGAAGCUGUUCAAUGGAGAGAACUCGCUGAACACUGUUGGAUUCAGUGGCAUGUAAGAUACCCGGGAAGUAGAGAAGACUGGUGGAAGUGAAUCAUUUGGAAUCCUAAAGAGCAGCCAGAUGUCCCUUCUUCAUACAGGGUCCGGAUAAUCUCUGCAGCUUUAACAACUUUUCAAGAGAAAUAAU